rfam:Triticum aestivum genome assembly, contig: Triticum_aestivum_CS42_TGACv1_scaffold_148344_2BS
AAAGUACUCCCUCCGUCCCAAAAUUCUUGUCUUAGAUUUGUCUAGAUACGGAUGUAUCAAGUCACAUUUUAGUAUUAGAUACAUCCGUAUCUAGACAAAUCUAAGACAAGAAAUUUGGGACAGAGGGAGUAGUUA